GAAACGCAAUACGCCACGGAAUUACUUCGGUAAUCGGAUGGUAUGGCGAGCUUUCGCCGUCCACGUUUCUCUUUCUUCAAAAAGACAAGAACCGCGUCGACCUAGAGGGAUACUGGGCCGGUUUGANCGAGAAUGGGCCCGUAGCUCAGUUGGUUAGAGCACACGCNUGAUAAGCGUGGG
rnacentral:misc_RNA from 1 species